AACGCUGGCGGCGUGCUUAACACAUGCAAGUCGAACGGAAAGGCCCUGCUUUUGUGGGGUGCUCGAGUGGCGAACGGGUGAGUAACACGUGAGUAACCUGCCCUUGACUUUGGGAUAACUUCAGGAAACUGGGGCUAAUACCGGAUAGGAGCUCCUGCUGCAUGGUGGGGGUUGGAAAGUUUCGGCGGUUGGGGAUGGACUCGCGGCUUAUCAGCUUGUUGGUGGGGUAGUGGCUUACCAAGGCUUUGACGGGUAGCCGGCCUGAGAGGGUGACCGGCCACAUUGGGACUGAGAUACGGCCCAGACUCCUACGGGAGGCAGCAGUGGGGAAUAUUGCACAAUGGGCGGAAGCCUGAUGCAGCAACGCCGCGUGCGGGAUGACGGCCUUCGGGUUGUAAACCGCUUUCGCCUGUGACGAAGCGUGAGUGACGGUAAUGGGUAAAGAAGCACCGGCUAACUACGUGCCAGCAGCCGCGGUGAUACGUAGGGUGCGAGCGUUGUCCGGAUUUAUUGGGCGUAAAGGGCUCGUAGGUGGUUGAUCGCGUCGGAAGUGUAAUCUUGGGGCUUAACCCUGAGCGUGCUUUCGAUACGGGUUGACUUGAGGAAGGUAGGGGAGAAUGGAAUUCCUGGUGGAGCGGUGGAAUGCGCAGAUAUCAGGAGGAACACCAGUGGCGAAGGCGGUUCUCUGGGCCUUUCCUGACGCUGAGGAGCGAAAGCGUGGGGAGCGAACAGGCUUAGAUACCCUGGUAGUCCACGCUGUAAACGGUGGGUACUAGGUGUGGGGUCCAUUCCACGGGUUCCGUGCCGUAGCUAACGCUUUAAGUACCCCGCCUGGGGAGUACGGCCGCAAGGCUAAAACUCAAAGGAAUUGACGGGGCCCCGCACAAGCGGCGGAGCAUGCGGAUUAAUUCGAUGCAACGCGUAGAACCUUACCUGGGUUUGACAUGGAUCGGGAGUGCUCAGAGAUGGGUGUGCCUCUUUUGGGGUCGGUUCACAGGUGGUGCAUGGCUGUCGUCAGCUCGUGUCGUGAGAUGUUGGGUUAAGUCCCGCAACGAGCGCAACCCUUGUUCACUGUUGCCAGCACGUUAUGGUGGGGACUCAGUGGAGACCGCCGGGGUCAACUCGGAGGAAGGUGGGGAUGACGUCAAGUCAUCAUGCCCCUUAUGUCCAGGGCUUCACGCAUGCUACAAUGGCUGGUACAGAGAGUGGCGAGCCUGUGAGGGUGAGCGAAUCUCGGAAAGCCGGUCUCAGUUCGGAUUGGGGUCUGCAACUCGACCUCAUGAAGUCGGAGUCGCCAGUAAUCGCAGAUCAGCAACGCUGCGGUGAAUACGUUCCCGGGGCUUGUACACACCGCCCGUCAAGUCAUGAAAGUUGGUAACACCCGAAGCCGGUGGCCUAACCGUUGUGGGGGAGCCGUCGAAGGUGGGACUGGUGAUUAGGACUAA
rnacentral:rRNA from 1 species